UACGUAGGGUGCGAGCGUUAAUCGGAAUUACUGGGCGUAAAGGGCGCGUAGGCGGUUUAUCAAGUGAGAUGUGAAAUCCCCGGGCUUAACCUGGGAACUGCAUCUUAAACUGAUGAGCUGGAGUACUGUAGAGGAUAGUGGAAUUUCCGGUGUAGCGGUGAAAUGCGUAGAGAUCGGAAGGAACAUCAGUGGCGAAGGCGACUGUCUGGACAGAUACUGACGCUGAGGCGCGAAAGCGUGGGGAGCAAACAGG
rnacentral:rRNA from 1 species